GCAAACUUGGUCAUUUAGAGGAAGUAAAAGUCGUAACAAGGUAACCGUAGGUGAACCUGCGGUUGGAUCAUUAGAAAAUUUGAAGCUCCGCUUCAGAAACACUGUGUGCACCGUUAUCUGUCUCUGGCAGGACCAGGGAAGCAGCAAUGCUAACCCCCUGCCAAAGGAGUGGGGACUCCCCUUGUGGGGAGACCUCCCUCCUGUUGAUAAACACUUUGUCUGUUUUUAUUCUGUCUGAAACUUUUCUUCACCUUGUGUGGGAAAUUGAAAACAACUUUUGGCAACGGAUCUCUUGGCUCUCGCAUCGAUGAAGAACGCAGC
rnacentral:misc_RNA from 1 species